UACGUAGGGUGCGAGCGUUGUCCGGAAUUAUUGGGCGUAAAGAGCUCGUAGGCGGUGUGUCACGUCGGCCGUGAAAACCUGCAGCUUAACUGUGGGCGUGCGGUCGAUACGGGCAUCACUGGAGUUCGGCAGGGGAGACUGGAAUUCCUGGUGUAGCGGUGAAAUGCGCAGAUAUCAGGAGGAACACCGAUAGCGAAGGCAGCUCGCUGGGGACGGUACUGACGCUGAGGCGCGAAAGCGUGGGGAGCGAACAGG
rnacentral:rRNA from 1 species